CCUACGGGUGGCAGCAGUGAGGAAUAUUGGUCAAUGGACGCAAGUCUGAACCAGCCAUGCCGCGUGCAGGAAGACGGCUCUAUGAGUUGUCAACUGCUUUUGUACGAGGGUAAACGCAGAUACGCGUAUCUGUCUGAAAUUAUCGUACUAGUAAGGAUCGGCUAACUCCGUGCCAGAAGCCGCGGUAAUACGGAGGAUUCAAGCGUUAUCCGGAUUUAUGGGGUUUAAAGGGUGCGUAGGCGGUCGGAUAAGUUAGAGGUGAAAUCCCGAGGCUAAACUUCGGAAUUGCCUCUGAUACUGUUCGGCUAGAGAGUAGUUGCGGUAGGCGGAAUGUAGGGUGUAGCGGUGAAAUGCUUAGAGAUCAUACAGAACACCGAUUGCGAAGGCAGCUUACCAAGCUACUUCUGACGUUGAGGCACGAAAGCGUGGGGAGCAAACAGGAUUAGAUACCCGAGUAGUC
rnacentral:rRNA from 1 species